UACGGGGGGGGCAAGCGUUGUUCGGAAUUACUGGGCGUAAAGGGCGCGUAGGCGGCCUUCUAAGUCAGACGUGAAAUCCCCGGGCUCAACCCGGGAACUGCGUCUGAUACUGGAAGGCUUGAAUCCGGGAGAGGGAUGUGGAAUUCCAGGUGUAGCGGUGAAAUGCGUAGAUAUCUGGAGGAACACCGGUGGCGAAGGCGGCAUCCUGGACCGGUAUUGACGCUGAGGCGCGAAAGCCAGGGGAGCAAACGGG
rnacentral:rRNA from 1 species